GAUGAACGCUGGCGGCGUGCCUAAUACAUGCAAGUCGAGCGAACAGAUGAGGAGCUUGCUUCUCUGACGUUAGCGGCGGACGGGUGAGUAACACGUGGAUAACCUACCUAUAAGACUGGGAUAACUUCGGGAAACCGGAGCUAAUACCGGAUAAUAUUUUGAACCGCAUGGUUCAAUAGUGAAAGACGGUUUUGCUGUCACUUAUAGAUGGAUCCGCGCUGCAUUAGCUAGUUGGUAAGGUAACGGCUUACCAAGGCAACGAUGCGUAGCCGACCUGAGAGGGGGACGGGCCCACUUGGACUGGAGCACGGGCCAGGAUCCCACGGGAGGGAAGAGGAAGGAAACUUCCGCAAUGGGCAGAAAGCUGGCGGAGCAACCGCGCGUGGAGUGAGGAAGGCUUCGGAUCGUUAAACUCUGUUAAUAAGGGAGAACAAUAUUGUAAGGAAAUAGGCACGACUUGGCGGGACCUAAUCAAAAAGCCACGGCUAACUACGUG
rnacentral:rRNA from 1 species